UACGUAGGGUGCAAGCGUUGUCCGGAAUUAUUGGGCGUAAAGCGCACGUAGGCGGUUCGGUAAGUCCCAUGUGAAAUCCCACAGCUUAACUGUGGAAGUGCAUGGGAAACCUCCGGACUUGAGUACGAAAGAGGAUCGCGGAAUUCCCGGUGUAGAGGUGAAAUUCGUAGAUAUCGGGAGGAACACCAGUGGCGAAGGCGGCGAUCUGGGUCGAUACUGACGCUGAGGUGCGAAAGCGUGGGGAGCAAACAGG
rnacentral:rRNA from 1 species